UGCUCUGGGAAACUGCCUGAUGGAGGGGGAUAACUACUGGAAACGGUAGCUAAUACCGCAUAACGUCGCAAGACCAAAGAGGGGGACCUUAGGGCCUCUUGCCAUCGGAUGUGCCCAGAUGGGAUUAGCUAGUAGGUGGGGUAACGGCUCACCUAGGCGACGAUCCCUAGCUGGUCUGAGAGGAUGACCAGCCACACUGGAACUGAGACACGGUCCAGACUCCUACGGGAGGCAGCAGUGGGGAAUAUUGCACAAUGGGCGCAAGCCUGAUGCAGCCAUGCCGCGUGUAUGAAGAAGGCCUUCGGGUUGUAAAGUACUUUCAGCGGGGAGGAAGGGAGUAAAGUUAAUACCUUUGCUCAUUGACGUUACCCGCAGAAGAAGCACCGGCUAACUCCGUGCCAGCAGCCGCGGUAAUACGGAGGGUGCAAGCGUUAAUCGGAAUUACUGGGCGUAAAGCGCACGCAGGCGGUUUGUUAAGUCAGAUGUGAAAUCCCCGGGCUCAACCUGGGAACUGCAUCUGAUACUGGCAAGCUUGAGUCUCGUAGAGGGGGGUAGAAUUCCCAGGUGUAGCGGUGAAAAUGCGUAGAAGAUCUGGGAGGAAUACCGGUGG
rnacentral:rRNA from 1 species